rnacentral:rRNA from 1 species
CCUACGGGUGACAGCAGUAGGGAAUCUUUCACAAUGGGCGAAAGCCUGAUGGAGCAACGCCGCGUGCAGGAUGAAGGCCUUCGGGUUGUAAACUGCUUUUAUAAGCGAGAAAUAUGAUGGUAACUUAUGACUACUGAUCGGCUAACUACGUGCCAGCAGCCGCGGUCUUACGUAGGAUCCGAGCAUUAUCCGGAGUGACUGGGUGUAAAGAGUUGCGUAGGUGGCAUAAGAAGGAGCUAGUGGACUCUGGGGGCUACACCAUUCAGACUAUUAGCUAAACUGUUAAGCUCGAGACCGUUAGGGGUAACUGGAAUUUCUAGUGUAGGAGUGAAAUCCGUAGAUAUGAGAAGGAACACCAAUAGCGUAGGCAGGUUACUGGGACGGGUCUGACACUAAGGCACGAAAGCGUAGGGAGCAAACGGGAUUAGAUACCCCGGUAGUC